GCUGGGCGUGGUGGUGCACGCCUGUAAUCCCAGCUACUCAGGAGGUUGAGGCGGGAGAAUCGCUUGAACCUAGGAGGUGGAGGUUGCAGUGAGCCGAGAUCGCGCCACUGCACUCCAGCCUGGGUGACAGAGCGAGACUUUGUCUCAA
ensembl:misc_RNA Metazoa_SRP Metazoan signal recognition particle RNA